ensembl:snoRNA
GAUAUUGGUAGCUUCUCCUGAGCAGCUGUGGUUAAAUGAGCCCCAUCUAAAAUGAGUCCACUCUGGGCAAAGUACCCAUUCCAUCCCCAGCUUGCUCAGUGCCUGGUGAUUGGAAGACACUUUGCAACAAUG